GACGAACGCUGGCGGCGUGCUUAACACAUGCAAGUCGAGCGGAGCGGCGAACGGGUGAGUAACGCGUGAGUAACUGCCCCCCUCUCUGGGAUACCAGUUGGAAACGGCUGCUCAUACCGACUAGUGGGGGAUGACUCGCGUCUUAUCAGCUUGUUGGUGGGGUAGUGGCCUACUAAGGCGACGACGGGUAGCCGGCCAGGGCGGGCGACCGGCCACAUUGGGCUGAGAGACGGCCCAAGAUCGAACGGGAGGCAGCAGUGGAGAAUAUUGCACAAUGGUGGAAACCCUGAGACAGAGGUCCGGGUGCGGAAUGACGGCUUUCGAGUUGUAAACAGCUUUCAGCCAUGACGCGGUAGUGGCAGAGGAAGCAACGGCGAACUACGUGCCAGCAGCCGCGGUAAUUC
rnacentral:rRNA from 1 species